rfam:Flavobacterium fryxellicola strain DSM 16209 FBFR01, whole genome shotgun sequence.
GUAUAGCCGCGAUGGUAGCAAGUAUCCUUUUUUUAUAAACGCAUGGAGAAUUGAACUUCUUGAAAACAACACGAAAUGCGUUUAAAAAAAGAUACUGCGAACAGCGGGAGAUCAC